UACUGAAUUCAUUCGCUGAUUGUGAUUGUGAUGAAAGAUCUAGUUUUCAUUGCAAUAACACGAAUUUUCUCGAUUUUUUGGGGGAAGAAUUCUAGUGUUGGUAUCUGCUAAAGUAUCGGGAUCACUAGGAGGAUGAGCGACAACUUCAGGGCCUGGGCAUGGAUAGACAUCGCCGGAAAGCAAGAGUCCAAGAAGUAAAAUAGAACUAUCGGCUUUAGUCUUGAUAGCCUUGAAGAGCAAGAAAGACACAUCUCUACUGCAAGAUAUAUGUAGGCCUAUCAAAGAAUCAAUGGCACUAUGCAGCAACAGAGCAUAGAACAAUGUUGCAAGACAAGAAAAGUACACGUAAAUUUAGUUCGAAAGAGUAAUCUCGGUGAAAAAACAUAAACAAUUAUUGUUUCUUUAAUAACAAGUUACCUGUGAUCAAGACAAGUUGCAUCAUUCUGAAAUAUUGAUCAUAUUGUACAGAAGUUAUGAUCGAAUUACGAUAAUAUGAGGAACCAAAACUACUAUAAUUCAUUUUUCGAAUAUAAGCCGUGUCAAGCAUUUUAACUUACAGUUAAUUUAAUUGAUUAUGUCUAAUAGUUUGCAAGACAAUUAAGAGAAGAUAUACUGGAGUUUAGUUCAACAUCUUGCUGAAUCUUAAUCAUGGUGAAAGAAAACAUUCAGCGAUUGUAUUUGAAUAUCGAAGGAAUUUAAUAAGUUUAAUAUUAUUGACAAGUUA